GCGAUCAGUAACUUGCGCGGUGAGUUGUAUGUAGGCCAACGGCUGUUCUGGCAUUCACUAUAUCGUUUCACUCUUAAUUCAGAAAUGGGAGAAAUUUAUCGGCAUGUUUUAUGCAGCAGGUGAAACACGUUUGCUGUAUUUGGAAUUCUGUGUAUAUAUAAAUUCUAUGACGCAUAAUUUUCAAAGCUUCGAAAAUUCUCAACCGUUUUUAACCAAAUUCUGUCAUUCUUGGUAAUUAUCAACGAUUUUAAAAAUUCUUAACCAAAAGAAUGAAAUGGAGCAUACGAAAAAGCAUCACAUGAUGACGAUAUUGUGGUUAUGAAUGUACGGUGACUAAGUGAGUAUUUAAACAAAUACAUUGCAUCGAUGAGACAUCAACACUUCACUCGCUUUGCAAUAUGUAUGGCUACAGGUCCAGUUGACCAUCAGUGCCAAAAUGGGAAUCAAAACUUUGAUCUUCAGCUUCUUGGUGUUAACGGCUCACAUAUGUUCCUGUGCCGAGUUGAAAUUCCGGAUUCCCUUGGAAGUGGCAUCUUCCGGUGAGGGUAUCUACCGGGUCUCUUAUGGCCUAUCCAACGGAUUCCCUGCCUCAAACUUCACUGUCGAUUCAUCCCUCAUCAAUCAACUCAUCACCAUCAACGACGUCCUUCCAGGCACAGAAUACGCAUUCCAUUUAUAUUUCUCCAAUGCCACUGUACAGAACGAGCUCGUGUGGUCCUCAAAUCUGCCAACAACUCCUGAUCCCCCUGUGAACUUAACAGUCACCGUUUUAGGUGGCAAAGGCGCCCAAGCUUCUUGGGAAGCUCCAGUGCAGGGUGGAUACACUGGAUUCAAGCUUAUUCUGGUUCCUCUGUCUGAAAAAGACGACAACACAGUUCGAAACCAUUACAUCACGCAGACUUCAUUUAGAGGCAACUUUUUCCUUCCUGAUUUGACCCCAGGCGCAUCCUACGAGGUUCAGCUCUACUCCGUGUUCCAAGGACAAGAUUCUGCAGUGUUUGUCGCGACCAAUUUUACUACAAAACCAAAUACACCAGGACGGUUCAUCGUCUGGUUCCGGAACGAAACUACUCUCCUAGUUCUGUGGCAGCCUCCCUAUCCUUCGGGAAUCUUCGACAAAUAUCGUGUGAGUAUUGCUCCGAAAGAUGCAUUGGAAUCGGAAUUGCUGGUGGACAAAGAGCGAGACCCACCAGGACCUGCCCAAGCUGCUUUCUAUGGUUUGGUGCCAGGCCGUAACUACAACAUUUCCGUCCAAACUGUUAGUCAAAAUCAGAUCAGCGAACCAACUAAAGCACAGUACAGAACAGUUCCUUUGCCACCAACAAAUGUUACAUAUGACACUAACAGGCUGGCUUCUUUUUCGUUCGACGUCCGAUGGGAUCCUCCUAAUAACUUAUCCGAGUUCGAUCGCUACCAAGUCGCCCUUGGCAUUCGCAAUACAGUCCGAUACCUAAUCAAUAAAGAGGAAGAAAGAGUUGUCACGUUUGAUGAGGAUUUAGAACCAGGUUUGACAUACGAGGUGGUCGUCAAAACUGUCAGCGGCAAUGUAGCCAGUUGGCCAGUCACGGCUAACGUUACGACAAGGCCAUUGCCGGUAAGGAUACUGAGUUCUUUGUCUGAGAACGUUGGAGAAAUAUUUCUUAAAUGGGAACCGAGCAAAAACAGUACUCAGGAUUCAUACAGGAUUAAAUACAGUGAUAUGGAAGCCUUCAAUAGUGGUGGUAGUCUCUUAGUAGUACAGAAUACAAGCAUAAACCUGACGUCUUUGUUACCAGGACGAAACUAUUCCAUCAGUGUGUCUGCUAUUAGCAAGAGGAUAUCAAGCGAAAACACUGUAAUUUACCAGGCAACAAAACCUUCAUCGCCGGUCAUCGAGUUGCUGCAGCCUGCUAUAGCCGGCGGCUGGAAUCUUACGUGGAAAUCUGACGUAACCAGUCGUCAGGAUCAAUAUUCAGUGAUGUACAUACGGAAUGAUACACGGUAUCUGCAGGAGAAAUUAACCAAGAACAACUGGGUUGUCAUUUCUGACCUAUAUCCUGGUGCGGGAUAUGAAAUUAAAGUUUAUGCCAUCAGUUUCGGAAUGUGGAGCGAGCCACAUUCUUAUUUCCAAACUAUACCACCACUGAAACCUAAAGGAUUGCAAGUGGUAAAAGCGAGUAGUACGAAUAUGAUUGUUUUGUGGAGUCCGCCAUCCGGCUCUUUGUACGACCAUUUCAGUGUGAGAUACCAGCCGGUCGGAUCAGCCUUUUGGAGAGAAAUGGGAACUGUGAAUACUACAUCAUGUGAAAUUAAGGACCUGGUCCCUGGAGAGAGGUAUGCUGUCCAAGUAACAACAAUGAGCAAGAAAGUUGAAAGUUUGGAAGCUGAAGAAAUUCAGCAAGCCAUGUAUCCUAAACCUAUCAGGAAAGUAAAAGAAGCUCUCGACUCGUACAACAUCACGUUCGAGUGGGAGGUGCCUCAAGGACACAGAGACUAUUAUAUUAUUAUUUACAAUCCCAUCGAUGAACCUCCGAAUCAGAAAUCGCUGCAGGUAGCUGCAAAUGAUACGAAACCGUUAGAGAAGAUGGACGUUAUUAUAGACGAACUGAAACCAGGAGAAUUGUAUUCCUUCCGUUUCUAUGCUGUCAGUCACAAUCUCAGAAGCGAAGGCAUUACAGUGCAAACUAGAACAAAGCCUGUGAUUGAUUCUGUGAUAAAUAUUGUGACCCGUGAACAGGAGACAAAAACUUUAGGGAUCAAAUACACACCGACACCGAGACGAAGCGUGGUAUUUGAUCGAUACCGGUUUCAACUGAGUGAUUCUUCUGUGCCGGCCCAAGAAAAACUUUUCAACGAUACAAAUCGUCUGGUCUUGUUCGACAACCUGGUACCUGGUCGCCUAUAUGAUAUCAGUAUAUGGACCGUGAGUGGCGGUGUAAGCAGCGUGCCCAUUCAUAGGCAAACAAGAUUGUAUCCAGAGCCAAUUACGGAGAUUGUUGCUAUUCACAUCACCGACACUGAAAUUUCCAUGAAAUGGGACAGACCUCCUGGAGAAAUGGAUGGUUACGAAAUAGAGUACCAGGACCCGAUGGGCCAUCUGGUAAAGAAUAUCAGCUUCAGCGAAACUAACACUUUCAGGAACCUUAAACCUCACCAUAAUUAUACGUUCCUUGUGUCUGUUCUGAGUGGUUAUGAUACUGAUACUAUUCGUCGUAGCAGACCUCUUUCAAAAACUUUCCAAACGCUUGAAUCUGUACCAGGACGAGUCCAUUUUUUCCGUGCCGUAGACGUUAAACCGAGUGAAAUUACUCUACAGUGGUCUUUACCAAGCAACGAACAAAACGGAGUUCUUAGAGGUUUUAAAGUCACAUAUUACACAAAGGGCACAACAAAACGAAGGCAUGAGUAUUUUGAACCCACAGAGACUAAAGGUGUUAUCUAUAGCUUACAACCUGGUAUGGAUUACGUUUUUGAGAUUCAAGCGCAUACGAAAGUAGGACCGGGAAGGACAGCAGUUUUUGAAGAAUCUACUCCAAUAUGGCCUCCACCUCCACCGGAGCCAAGUGUCUUUCCGAAGCUGAUGAGUCGAACUUCCAGUUCGAUUAGAGUCGAAUUCAGUAACAACUUCUUUUCAAAUGUGAACGGGAAAAUCAUUGCAUAUAGUCUGAUAGUUGCUGAGGAUGAUACCAAAGACUCUAGUGCCCUUCGCUUACCCACGUGGGGAGAUGUUCAGCAAUACCCAUUAUGGCCUCCUUAUCAGGUCCACGAGCCGUACUAUCCGUUCAACCAUUCCUUCGUAGAAGACUUCACUAUUGGUGCGGAAAACUGCAAUGGUGUAAAGGGCUACUGCAACGGUCCUCUCAAGCCAGCCUCAACCUACAGGGUCAAGAUAAGGGCAUUCACGACUCCUACUGCAUUUACAGACACUGUUUACUCGUACCCUGUCCAAACAGAUGCUGACAAUCGAACGUUGCUGACGGGUAUUCUUGUUCCUCUGUUACUGGUAGUUCUUAUUGUGGGAGUGGCUCUCCUCUGGAGAAGAAGGCGGCUGGCCCCCUUCGCUAAAAAAGCCAAGCAUGCCAAAGCUGAUGCCAUGUCUGUUUCAGAAAGUGAGGUUAUUACUAGCCGGCCAAUCAAGCUCAAAGAUUUCGGCGAACACUACAGAAUUAUGUCUGCCGAUUCCGACUUUAGGUUCUCGGAAGAAUUCGAAUUGCUGAAACAUGUUGGUCGAGAGAAACCGUGCAAUGCUGCUGACCUUCCUGUGAACCGGCCAAAGAAUCGUUUCACCAAUAUUCUGCCUUACGAUCAUUCUAGAAUCAAACUCAUGCCCACAGACGAUGAGGAGGGUACGGAUUACAUCAAUGCCAACUACAUUCCGGGUUAUAAUUCACCUCGAGAAUUCAUCGUGACUCAAGGUCCCUUGCACAGCACCAGAGACGACUUCUGGCGCAUGGUUUGGGAACAGAACUGUCGUGCCAUAGUCAUGCUUACCAGGUGCAUAGAAAAAGGGCGCGAAAAGUGCGACCAUUAUUGGCCGUUCGAUAUGCAGCCCGUCUACUAUGGUGAUAUUCAAGUCAUAUUGCUCAAUGAAUCACAGUACUUACAUUGGACUAUAUCAGAAUUUAAAGUGUCCAGGAAUGAUCAGUCACGUGUUGUGAAACACUUUCACUUUACGACUUGGCCGGAUUUUGGAGUUCCGGAGCCUCCUCAGAUUCUUGUCAAAUUUGUCCGGACAUUCAGAGAGCGAAUAGGAUCUGAUCCUAAACCCAUCGCCGUUCACUGCAGCGCUGGCGUCGGCAGAUCAGGCACUUUCAUUGCUUUGGACAGAAUUCUGCAGCACAUUCAGAAACAUGACUACGUCGAUAUUUUCGGGAUUGUUUAUGAGAUGAGAAAGGAGAGGGUCUGGAUGGUGCAGAACGAGCAACAAUACAUCUGCAUCCACCAAUGUUUGCUGUGUGUUUUGGAAAAGAAGGAAGAAGUCCUUGAGCUUGGCCGGCCCGAAGCCCAUGACAAUCAAGGAUAUGAUGGAUCGCUUCCAUCUUCAGCUAAAACGACAGUCCGUUUAUCCAAUGGACACGUCGAGAACAAAGAGUGAACUUUAUCUUAGAAGAAUGCCGUAUGAUCAGAUUGAAUACUGAGUCAAUAAAAGUUCCUCUUCUUGAUGAUGAAGGUAUUGCUGAAUCCGGGAUAUGAAAGG